rnacentral:lncRNA from 1 species
AGGAAUCCCAGGAAUGUGGGCGAGGUCCUCCUCCCGCCGGGGCCACCCUGGACCCGGCGAGAAAUCGAAGGUCCCCCAAGGACCCACGUCCAGGAGCCAACAGCCUCUCUGUGCAAACCAGACAACCCUGCAGGAACUGUGCUUGAAGAAACCGUGGAAACUGCCCCCAACCCUCCCGUCUCUAUUUCUUUCUCUGUUUUAUUAUCUCAUUCUUGGCUGUGAGGUAAACAGGAGAAAAUGAGAAGGUGGUUCUGGAGGACCCGACCGAAUUUGCUUUCGUGACAGGGUCAAGCGCCCUUUCCUCGCCGGCCGCAGCCCUCACCAAAGGGGAUUUGGGGGCCUCCGGACAGGGGUCCUGAAGGUUUUGAAUUGUUCAAUCUCUGGGGGUACAGGAACCCCUGCAGGAGGUUUCAAAGGCAAGAGUUUCGCAGAGAGAAAAAAACCAUGAACUUUGCAGGUUGGUGGCGGAAUCUGGUGAUUUAAGAAAACGUGUUUAAGCCUCGGCCGGGCCGCGCCUGGGCUGUCUGCGGUGCUCUUCCGGAAUUCUCUACAAUAUCUGGAAGUGACCAAGAAAAUUCCAGAACCCGGAGGCUGCGCCGUGGAGAUAAACAUGGGCACCUGGGGCCUGUGUUCCCCCUGCACGUCCCCAGGAAGGAACUGCUGGACCAGCAGAAUGAGGGGCCAACGCCAGGGGCAGCACUGCCCGGCCACAGAGGACUGUGGCCCCACAGAUGACACCCUCAGCUACCAGCUCCUGCAUCUGGAAGAUGACCAGGAGGAGGAAGGACGGUCUGCAAGUGUUCAAAGUGAUGUUUCCAGGCCGGGCGCGCUUGUAAUACCAGCAUUUGGGAGGCUGAGGCAGGCGGAUCACCUGAGGUCGGGAGUUCGAGACCAGCCUGACCAACGUGGAGAAAC